rnacentral:rRNA from 1 species
AACGAACGCUGGCGGCAGGCUUAACACAUGCAAGUCGAGCGCCCCGCAAGGGGAGCGGCAGACGGGUGAGUAACGCGUGGGAACGUACCUUUUGGUUCGGAACAACUCCGGGAAACUGGAGCUAAUACCGGAUAAGCCCUAACGGGGAAAGAUUUAUCGCCGAAAGAUCGGCCCGCGUCUGAUUAGCUAGUUGGUGAGGUAACGGCUCACCAAGGCGACGAUCAGUAGCUGGUCUGAGAGGAUGAUCAGCCACACUGGGACUGAGACACGGCCCAGACUCCUACGGGAGGCAGCAGUGGGGAAUAUUGGACAAUGGGCGCAGGCCUGAUCCAGCCAUGCCGCGUGAGUGAUGAAGGCCUUAGGGUUGUAAAGCUCUUUUGUCCGGGAAGAUAAUGACUGUACCGGAAGAAUAAGCCCCGGCUAACUUCGUG